rnacentral:rRNA from 1 species
UACGGGGGGGGCAAGCGUUGUUCGGAAUUACUGGGCGUAAAGGGCUCGUAGGUGGCCAACUAAGUCGGACGUGAAAUCCCUCGGCUUAACCGGGGAACUGCGUCUGAUACUGGAUGGCUUGAGUUCGGGAGAGGGAUGCGGAAUUCCAGGUGUAGCGGUGAAAUGCGUAGAUAUCUGGAGGAACACCGGUGGCGAAGGCGGCAUCCUGGACCGGCAUUGACGCUGAGGCGCGAAAGCUAGGGGAGCAAACGGG